rfam:Cricetulus griseus cell line CHO-K1, whole genome shotgun sequence.
CUCCAUGGAACAUUCAACGCUGUCGGUGAGUUUGGGAUUAAAACAGAAAAAAACCACCGACCGUUGACUGUACCUUGGGA